rnacentral:lncRNA from 1 species
AUGGUUAUUCCCGUAAGCCUUAUUUGGUACUUUCAGUUAUUAUAUAAGGAAUGUAAAUCCUAACUAUUUAUUUCACUUCCGCACUAAAUUUAUAAUUUAUUUCCUUUAGAAUUUACGGGGUCGUUACAAUUGGUAUCAGAGUCACGUUCCUCGAAAUCAUUCCUUACACAAAGUCCUUAAGAAACACCAAAAACAAUGA